GAUGAACGCUAGCUACAGGCUUAACACAUGCAAGUCGAGGGGAAACGAUAUUGGAAGCUUGCUUCCGAUAGGCGUCGACCGGCGCACGGGUGAGUAACGCGUAUCCAACCUGCCCAUCACUUGGGGAUAACCCUUGCGAAAGUAAGACUAAUACCCAAUGACGUCUCUAGAAGACAUCUGAAAGGAGAUUUAAAAGAUUUUAUCGGGUGAUGGAUGGGGAUGCGUCUGAUUAGCUUGUUGCGGGUAACGGCCCACCAAGGCGACGAUCAGUAGGGGUUCUGAGAGGGAAAGGUUCCCCCCACAUUGGAACUGAG
rnacentral:rRNA from 1 species